rnacentral:lncRNA from 1 species
GUAACAGUUUUUUUCCUCAAGAUAUUACAUUUCCAUCUGCGUUUACUAGAUAUCACUUUACAAAAGCUAUAAGAUUUUUUUAUAACUACUGUUAGCUGCCAGUGGUUACAUAAAGGGCAGCAGAGACGAGCGACCAUCGACACCCCACCAUUCAGUCGUGUAUCUCUGCUUGGAGGAUUCCAUUUUCGAACGUCAUUGUGACAAGGUGACAAGACAUGUUAUAGUUUGACGGGGAUACGAUUUUGCCGCGCUUUUGAAUACUUUUGUUCAAUCAUAGUUGAUUUUCAUGUUAAAACUAUUUCUUGUUAUUUCCUUGUUAAAUAAACCUGCUUCUGGUUCUUAAAAUCAGAAGUGGGAUAGUCUCACCCCCACUAUAAAGUUUUUGAUUUCAGUUUAGAUUCAUUGGCACUUUUUAUUAAGUACGACGCGGUGUAAGAAAAUCCGCCGACCAAAGUUUUUGUUGUUCUUAUUUUAAUUUUGUAAGGGAUUGCAGUGCGCUGCAUAGAUUGGUAUAUUCAAGAUGCUAUACAGGCAGCGUAAGUGAUACCAAUAAAAUGUUGGUUGGUUUACUUGUUGUGGAACAAAAAUAAUAUGGAAGGUGUAUCGUAUUCUGAAGAGUUAAAUGACAUCAAUGCCCAAAUAACUGGAAGAAUACAUUGAAGGAUAGCAUUAUUGUGGACUGCAUAAAUUCCAUUAUUGGAAAAAUCACAAAGGAACAUUGGUUUUAUUUACUUUUAUGGAAAUAACAGGUCUGGUAACUAUGGUUAUUGGUAAACAAAAUUGAUUGAACAUAGUCACAUGAUAAAGUAGUAAUCAAAAUGUUUGUGUUACCCGAAUUAACGAUUGCUUUUGUUUACAUGUGUAUAUAACAAUGGAAUAAGUCGAGAAGUUAUGAUUCUUCCGAUUUAUAGCGCAAGCAAUGUCUAUUGCUUGAGCUUAGUACACUGAUGCUGUUGGGACUCUUGUGUGCUUCGAGUGGAAUGAGUUUCUGCUUAUGUAUUGCUCUGGUGUUGAACAACAUGCCUUGCUCCCGCUAUGCUCAAGAUAAUAUGAGAGGUAUCCUGUAAUGUACCUGUAUGUAAAUGGUGAGAUCAAUCCAGUUUUAUUUAGCCUUUAUGUCAUACAUGCCUAGUAAUCCAUCUUGGUGGCUUAUUGGUUAAAAACAUACUGAAAGUGUAUGAGAACUUGAGUUAGAUUCUCAGGUGCCACCGCUCUUGAACAAAGUGUUAUACAAACUGAAAUGAUAAUGUGGAUCCUUUGUUUGCAUUUGAAAUGUUUUUGUGUCAUGAAAUUGAAUAACUAACAGGCUUAUUAUGUAAAUGAGCUCAGUAAUGUUUAUUUCUAAUCUUUCUGCUUAUAAGAGUUUCAAUAAGUACAGAGAAAUAUAAGUUUACUGCUGUUGUGAUAUAACUGCACUCUGUUUUGAUAUUGACUUACUCAAUUUCCUUACACCAAAGUGGAAUAGUUCAAAUUGUGCAUCAGUCUCUAGAUUUGUUAGUUUGAUUUAUUUAUCUGUUUCUACUUUUGAUUCUGUUGAGUUGUGCAGUAUCUAUGAUGGAUAUCAGGGUGACUUGUAAAAGACCCAUUGGCCUGUCUGAUGGCAUUGGGGUGACUGAAAAGAGACUUGUGUAAACUCUUUGGUACAGUUGGUGUUAUGCCGCUGUAGUUGUGGCCUUCGAAGGCCUGUAGAGCUCAAGAAAGGGAUACAACCAAUAUCUAAGAUUCCAAUGGAAGGCAAUGAUGAAUUUGCAUUUUAUAAAUUGAAAGUCUGUUUACCGACCUUGGUUAUUAUUUUAUUUUACUGGUUAUAUAAUUUGGGUGCAUUAAUUGGUGAUGUCAACUAAAGUUCAAAUCUGUAACAUGACAAUGCAUGAGAGUCUUCCAAUUGAAUGUUUGUUUGCUUUAGCCAGAUGCUUGCUUGCUUGUCUUUUGACUACAGGUAUUGAGGAUAAGCCUAUGUCAGAAAACACUAUGAGAUCACCUUUGUGAGAACCAUGCGAGGUGAUGGUGUAAGCGCUGCAGGUGCUGUGCUACUUGACAUAUUACGAGUGCUGUGACACUUCAAGCGCCUCGGGUGCUGUGCUGCUGCACGAGCUUUGCAUGCUGUAUAGGGUGCCAACUGCCAGUACCUUAUUUGGCAUACUCCAGUAAUGAUAGCCAGUGGAUGGUAGACCUGGUAUAUCAUGCAUUGAGGUCAGGUUCUAUUUUUCAUUUGGCUUUUUGAUUCCCAAUUUGGAAGUUAUUAUGCUCUUAGCUCUAUUAAGAGGAAAAAUGUGUUAUAAUGUACCAACCAUUGGUAUUGUUGCUCAUGAGUAUACUGUGUAGCAAAAUAUGAAAGUUAAUUACACGUAAUUUACCAAAAUAUAAUGAUGGUUGUGUUUUGAGUGUUGCUGACACAUGAUUAGUACUGACACAGAUUUUUGAGACAUAGUUCUAAAGUUGAGUUUGUUUGUCAACGUUAUGCCUCGAAUUUAUUUCUUUGAAAGCGAAAAGCUUUCCAGAUUUUGAUGGUCAGAAGUGGCCGAGCGAAAUGUAUGUCGUGAGUGCUUGUUCACAGAGUUGUACACAAAAAUAUGUAACGGCGGUGUCGCAGCAAACCAGCGCUGCUGAGCCGGUGCUGCUGGUCGUGGCACGAGCGCUGCUGAGCCGGUGCUGCUGGUCGUGGCACGAGCGCUGCUGAGCCGGUGCUACUGGUUGCGGCACGAGCGCCGCUGAGCCGGUGCUGCUGGUUGCGGCACGAGCGCCGCUGAGCCGGUGCUGCUGGUUGCGGCACGAGCGCUGCUGAGCCGGUGCUGCUGGUGACGGCACGAGCACUGCUGAGCCGGUGCUGCUGGUUGCGGCACGAGUGCUGCUGUGCCGGUGCUGCUGGCAGAUUGCUGUCGUCGCUUGCCAUGAUGACGUCAAUGUGGCGUUGAAAGACGACGACUCUGGUGGUGGAGUUGCAGUCGAGUGGACGCUGUGGUUUGCUCAGCCUUAUUGAAAGUUGAGAGCACGCUAGUGGUGCUGAUGUGUUGGGCCACUGAUUGAGGUGGUAUUGUUGCGAUAAUCCAUGUUGGAUUAUAUAUCACGUUGUUUCACUGAUUCUGUCAUUCACGAUGCACUGAAUUUUAUCUAUGUUCGUGUAAAGUCUGAAGUAUUUGUUCUUAAUUACAUUUUUCUAUAGACCUCUGCCCGGGGGCGCUUGAGUGCACGCUUGCGCCCACGGUAUAACUAACACUAAGUAAAAGUGAAUUUUAUUCUUUCUUACAUUUUUCUUAUGAUAUAUGUUUCAGCCUUAUACACGGUACCAAGUUAAUAAUUACAUGAUUUGAUUGAUAUUGAAUAAUUUACAUGAUCGAUACACGGAUUGAUAUUGAAUAAUUGACAUGAUUUCUUUAUAUGUUGUAUGUGUGUACAUGUAUGUAUAAACACUGGGAGGUAUGCAAACUUUGGAGCCUAUGCCUACGGUGUGGAAGCCUUAUACACGGUACCAAGUUAAUAAUUACAUGAUUGAUAUUGAAUAAUUUACAUGAUUUCUUUUUAUGUUGUAUGUGUGUACGUGUAUGAGUAAACACUGGGAGGUAUGCAAACUUUUGAGCCUAUGCCGGCGAGUCACUGGGAGGUAUGCAAACUUUUGGAGCCUAUGCCUACAGUGCGGAAACCUUAUGCGAUAUACAAACUUUUGAGCUUAUGUCGGCGAGUCACUGGGUGGUAUACCAGUGUAUUGUUAUUUAUUUUGUACCAAUUAUUUGAUUUAAAGUUGAUGUUAUUUAUUUUCGAGUCGCUGGGUGGUAUACCAGUGUUUUGUUAUUUAUUUUGAACCAAUUAUUUGAUUUAAAGUUGAUGUUAUUUAUUUUCGAGUCGCUGGGUGGUAUACCAGUGUUCUGUUAUUAAUUUUGUACCUGUUAUUUGAUUUAAAGUUGAUGUUAUUUAUUUUUCAUUGGUUAAAUGAAUUAGUUCUUUGUUUGAGGUUUGUAAUACCUCGAAUAAUGUUUAUUCUGAUAGUUUCAUGUGUCCAGAAAAACGAUGACGACCACGUUAACCAAUCGCGAUUCAAUUAUGACGAAAUUGAGCCAGGUCCAACUCGCUUAUUGAAUGUGCAGGUGUUCCGAGACACAACCAGGCUCAGCCAGAUCCUGCCGAGGACGUCAGGGUGUCAGGAGAGGCCGUGUUAGCUGCCAGUGGUUACAUAAAGGGCAGCAGAGACGAGCGACCAUCGACACCCCACCAUUCAGUCGUGUAUCUCUGCUUGGAGGAUUCCAUUUUCGAACGUCAUUGUGACAAGACAUGUUAUAGUUUGAC